CCUACGGGAGGCAGCAGUGGGGAAUCUUGGGCAAUGGGCGAAAGCCUGACCCAGCGACGCCGCGUGGGGGAUGAAGGCCUUCGGGUUGUAAACCCCUGUCAGGUGGGACGAUGGUUCGCUGACCUAAUACGUCGGCGGAUUGACGGUACCACCAGAGGAAGCCCCGGCUAACUACGUGCCAGCAGCCGCGGUAAUACGUAGGGGGCAAGCGUUGCUCGGAUUUACUGGGCGUAAAGGGCGUGUAGGCGGCCAGGCAAGUCAGGUGUGAAAGUCCUCGGCUCAACCGAGGUUCCGCGCCUGAAACUACUUGGCUUGAGUCUGGAAGAGGAGGGUGGAAUUCCCGGUGUAGCGGUGAAAUGCGUAG
rnacentral:rRNA from 1 species